rnacentral:lncRNA from 1 species
AGGUGGCGGUAGAUGGUGAUGUAGCGCCAGUAGCCAAUCUUCUCCGACAGGAAGGUGGCGUAGAUGAUGAACUUGGGCUUGAAGUAGGUGUAGGUGCGGUUCUUGGUCAGGAAGCCCAGGUCCAGGGCCAGGUUGAAGUCCGACAGGGCCUUGUUCAGGAAGCCGGCGUGGCGGGCCUCAUCGCGAGACAUGAGCAGGAACCUGUGUUGGUGCGUUGCCGGGGAGUGAGGGUUGAGGCGGUGGAGGGUGAGGCUGGGUUGGGGUGAGGUGGGCAAAGGCGCAGGGACGCCGUUGCCGACCGACCCAGAUCGCCUGCCUCAUUCGGCGCCGUCUGCGUUUCCAUGCAUCUACACAGUCCCCGGCUGCCGCCGUCCCACACCAUCCAGCCAGGCAUCCCCGCCCCGCCCCGCCAACCCGCAAAAAUCCCACCCUCGUACAAACGGCAUUGAUCGCAUCCGCACAGCCGGCCAGCCGCGCGCUCGC